GACGAACGCUGGCGGCGUGCUUAACACAUGCAAGUCGAACGGAAAGGCCCUGCUUUUGUGGGGUGCUCGAGUGGCGAACGGGUGAGUAACACGUGAGUAACCUGCCCUUGACUUUGGGAUAACUUCAGGAAACUGGGACUAAUACCGGAUAGGAGCUCCUGCUGCAUGGUGGGGGUUGGAAAGUUUCGGCGGUUGGGGAUGGACUCGCGGCUUAUCAGCUUGUUGGUGGGGUAGUGGCUUACCAAGGCUUUGACGGGUAGCCGGCCUGAGAGGGUGACCGGCCACAUUGGGACUGAGAUACGGCCCAGACUCCUACGGGAGGCAGCAGUGGGGAAUAUUGCACAAUGGGCGGAAGCCUGAUGCAGCAACGCCGCGUGCGGGAUGACGGCCUUCGGGUUGUAAACCGCUUUCGCCUGUGACGAAGCGUGAGUGACGGUAAUGGGUAAAGAAGCACCGGCUAACUACGUGCCAGCAGCCGCGGUGAUACGUAGGGUGCGAGCGUUGUCCGGAUUUAUUGGGCGUAAAGGGCUCGUAGGUGGUUGAUCGCGUCGGAAGUGUAAUCUUGGGGCUUAACCCUGAGCGUGCUUUCGAUACGGGUUGACUUGAGGAAGGUAGGGGAGAAUGGAAUUCCUGGUGGAGCGGUGGAAUGCGCAGAUAUCAGGAGGAACACCAGUGGCGAAGGCGGUUCUCUGGGCCUUUCCUGACGCUGAGGAGCGAAAGCGUGGGGAGCGAACAGGCUUAGAUACCCUGGUAGUCCACGCUGUAAACGGUGGGUACUAGGUGUGGGGUCCAUUCCACGGGUUCCGUGCCGUAGCUAACGCUUUAAGUACCCCGCCUGGGGAGUACGGCCGCAAGGCUAAAACUCAAAGGAAUUGACAGGGCCCCGCACAAGCGGCGGAGCAUGCGGAUUAAUUCGAUGCAACGCGUAGAACCUUACCUGGGUUUGACAUGGAUCGGGAGUGCUCAGAGAUGGGUGUGCCUCUUUUGGGGUCGGUUCACAGGUGGUGCAUGGCUGUCGUCAACUCGUGUCGUGAGAUGUUGGGUUAAGUCCCGCAACGAGCGCAACCCUUGUUCACUGUUGCCAGCACGUUAUGGUGGGGACUCAGUGGAGACCGCCGGGGUCAACUCGGAGGAAGGUGGGGAUGACGUCAAGUCAUCAUGCCCCUUAUGUCCAGGGCUUCACGCAUGCUACAAUGGCUGGUACAGAGAGUGGCGAGCCUGUGAGGGUGAGCGAAUCUCGGAAAGCCGGUCUCAGUUCGGAUUGGGGUCUGCAACUCGACCUCAUGAAGUCGGAGUCGCUAGUAAUCGCAGAUCAGCAACGCUGCGGUGAAUACGUUCCCGGGGCU
rnacentral:rRNA from 1 species